CGUACACUCCUGCGGGAGGCAGCAGUGGGGAAUUUUACGCAAUGGGGGAAACCCUGACGUAGCGACACCGCGUGAGCGAAGAAGCCCUUUGGGGUGUAAAGCUCUGUCAGCUGGAACGAAAACAAUGACGGUACCAGCAGAGGAAGCAUCGGCUAACUACGUGCCAGCAGCCGCGGUAAGACGUAGGAUGCGAGCGUUGUCCGGAUUUAUUGGGCGUAAAGAGUUCGUAGGUGGUUUGUUAAGUUUGGUGUUAAAGAUCGGGGCUCAACCCUGGGACUGCACUGAAUACUGGCAGACUCGAGUGUGGUAGAGGCUAGUGGAAUUCCCAGUGUAGCGGUGAAAUGCGUAGAUAUUGGGAAGAACACCGGUGGCGUAGGCGACUAGCUGGGCCAUAACUGACGCUGAGGAACGAAAGCCAGGGGAGCGAAUGGGAUUAGAAACCCGGGUAGUCCCAUGA
rnacentral:rRNA from 1 species